rnacentral:rRNA from 1 species
GACGAACGCUGGCGGCGUGCUUAACACAUGCAAGUCGAACGAUGAAGCCUAGCUUGCUAGGUGGAUUAGUGGCGAACGGGUGAGUAAUACGUGAGUAACCUACCUUUAACUCUGGGAUAAGCCCGGGAAACUGGGUCUAAUACCGGAUACGACCAAUCUCCGCAUGGGGUGUUGGUGGAAAGCGUUAUGUAGUGGUUAUAGAUGGGCUCACGGCCUAUCAGCUUGUUGGUGAGGUAACGGCUCACCAAGGCGACGACGGGUAGCCGGCCUGAGAGGGUGACCGGCCACACUGGGACUGAGACACGGCCCAGACUCCUACGGGAGGCAGCAGUGGGGAAUAUUGCACAAUGGGCGCAAGCCUGAUGCAGCGACCCCGCGUGAGGGAUGACGGCCUUCGGGUUGUAAACCUCUGUUAGCAGGGAAGAAGAGAGAUUGACGGUACCUGCAGAAAAAGCGCCGGCUAACCACGUGCCAGCAGGCCGCGGUAAUACGUAAGGCGCGAGCGUUGUCCGGAAUUAUUGGGCGUAAAGAGCUUGUAGGCGGUUUGUCGCGUCUGCUGUGAAAGGCCGGAGCUUAACUCCGUGUAUUGCAGUGGGUACGGGCAGACUAGAGUGCAGUAGGGGAGACUGGAAUUCCUGGUGUAGCGGUGGAAUGCGCAGAUAUCAGGAGGAACACCGAUGGCGAAGGCAGGUCUCUGGGCUGUAACUGACGCUGAGAAGCGAAAGCAUGGGGAGCGAACAGGAUUAGAUACCCUGGUAGUCCAUGCCGUAAACGUUGGGCACUAGGUGUGGGGAACAUUCCACGUUUUCCGCGCCGUAGCUAACGCAUUAAGUGCCCCGCCUGGGGAGUACGGCCGCAAGGCUAAAACUCAAAGAAAUUGACGGGGGCCCGCACAAGCGGCGGAGCAUGCGGAUUAAUUCGAUGCAACGCGAAGAACCUUACCAAGGCUUGACAUAUACUGGACCGCAUCAGAGAUGGUGUUUCCCUUCGGGGCUGGUAUACAGGUGGUGCAUGGUUGUCGUCAGCUCGUGUCGUGAGAUGUUGGGUUAAGUCCCGCAGCGAGCGCAACCCUCGUUCUAUGUUGCCAGCACGUUAUGGUGGGGACUCAUAGGAGACUGCCGGGGUCAACUCGGAGGAAGGUGGGGAUGACGUCAAAUCAUCAUGCCCCUUAUGUCUUGGGCUUCACGCAUGCUACAAUGGCCGGUACAGAGGGUUGCGAUACUGUGAGGUGGAGCUAAUCCCUAAAAGCCGGUCUCAGUUCGGAUUGGGGUCUGCAACUCGACCCCAUGAAGUCGGAGUCGCUAGUAAUCGCAGAUCAGCAACGCUGCGGUGAAUACGUUCCCGGGCCU